AGCCCAGAUUUUCGGACUGCAAACCCGCUUUUGGGAAAAGUUUCCCCUGGGCUU
rnacentral:tRNA from 1 species